AUGGAGUUGAUCUCCAUAAAAGAGAUCAAAAACAGCAUGGUAAGAGAUGUGGAUAAAGGUGUCCAAUAUGAAGCCCAGAUGCUGGAAACUCGUCUGGCUCAAACAUCGAUCGAUCAAAGCCCCCCGCUUAUUGUAAGCAAAGCCAAUGUGGAUGCUGAACUUCACUGCACACAAGUGACCACAAGCCACGACUACAUGUACUGGUACCACCAAGGAGCCAGCCGUGAGCUGAAGUUCAUCGCCUCUAGUUUUAAGGGACAGGAGCCCACCUAUGAUGACAGCUACAAAGAUAAGUUGGUUUAUAUGAUGGAGGGCAAAGGAGAGAAGCAAACGUCUCUGAAGAUCAAGUCACUGACAGCCCAGAAUCAAGGAGUUUAUUACUGUGCAUCCAGUGCUACACAGUGA